rnacentral:lncRNA from 1 species
GUAGAUACUUAGUUUAUAGUGUAAACAGAAAUAGAUGACUGUUGGAAAGGUAGUUCAGUAGUUAAAAUGGAUGAAUAGUUAGGAAAAGUAAUUUUCAUUAGAGAUGUAGCAGUUGGUAUCUCGUGGUAGGAUAAAGAGGAUGAGAGAGAGGAAGAAACUGCCAUUACUGUGAUAGUGUGAGCCGGGGUAAGCUUGGUGCUACCUCUUUUCUUUUGUUGUUAUGUUCUUUGAAAUAAGAGUAUUGAGAGUUUUUGAAUAUUGUGAAGUGAAUCAUGGAAUGAAAGUGUGAAUGGAAUUAUAUGUUAUUGAAUGAGAAGAAGAGAGAUUGAAUGCUGAAAUCUGAAUGUAGUUCAGUAGAAAGAGUGAAUCUAUGGUUGUGUGAAACACUAUAAUAUGAAUGGUAGUUCUGUGUGAAGAAUUCCAGUAAUUGGAAUGAAGGUAAUUGUGUGCUGAAGCUGUGAUGUUGCGGUAUUACAGUUGGAGAUUAUAAGAGUGAAGAUAUAUUGGUAGAAAUAACAGUUAUUGGUAUGACUGAAUUGUUGUAAGGAAGAGAUUGAUAAGGUGAAAUGAGAGAUUAUAGUUUCCUUGUGUGCUUAGACAAUGGAAAUAGAGACGAUACAUUGGAGGUAAUUAAUUGUGUGAUCCUAACGUGAAUGCUCAAGCAACUAGUCACUCCCCGUGUUCGAAUUCCCCUAUACAGGUUUAUUCUGGGAGGUUCCUUUCGGAAUAAGUAAAACGAUCAACCACAUUUUGGCGCCGCUGCCGGGGAGUGAUAAUAGCUUUGAGCAUUAGGAAUUAAUUACAAACGUGUGAGAAAAUGGGCAAUGGAAGACGAUUUCAGUAGUGUUUGAAGAAAGAUUAUGGUUAAUAAGAACGAGAGCAUUGCAUCGAGGAAAAUAAAUCAGUUGAGAGAAAGACAGGGAAGAGCGCAAAGAAGGAACUUGCG